rnacentral:rRNA from 2 species
AGCGGAAGGCCCUUCGGGGUACUCGAGCGGCGAACGGGUGAGUAACACGUGAGCAACCUGCCCCAGGCUUUGGGAUAACCCCGGGAAACCGGGGCUAAUACCGAAUAUGACCUCUGACCGCAUGGUUGGUGGUGGAAAGUUUUUCGGCUUGGGAUGGGCUCGCGGCCUAUCAGCUUGUUGGUGGGGUGAUGGCCUACCAAGGCGACGACGGGUAGCCGGCCUGAGAGGGCGACCGGCCACACUGGGACUGAGACACGGCCCAGACUCCUACGGGAGGCAGCAGUGGGGAAUAUUGCACAAUGGGCGGAAGCCUGAUGCAGCGACGCCGCGUGAGGGAUGACGGCCUUCGGGUUGUAAACCUCUUUCAGCAGGGACGAAGCGUAAGUGACGGUACCUGCAGAAGAAGCGCCGGCCAACUACGUGCCAGCAGCCGCGGUAAGACGUAGGGCGCGAGCGUUGUCCGGAUUUAUUGGGCGUAAAGAGCUCGUAGGCGGCUUGUCGCGUCGACCGUGAAAACUUGGGGCUCAACCCCAAGCCUGCGGUCGAUACGGGCAGGCUAGAGUUCGGUAGGGGAGACUGGAAUUCCUGGUGUAGCGGUGAAAUGCGCAGAUAUCAGGAGGAACACCGGUGGCGAAGGCGGGUCUCUGGGCCGAUACUGACGCUGAGGAGC